rnacentral:rRNA from 1 species
AACGUAGGAGACAAACGUUAUCCGGAGUUACUGGGCGUAAAGGGCGUGUAGGCGGAUCGUUAAGUCGGGGGGUGAAAUCCUGGAGCUCAACUCCAGAACUGCCUUCGAUACUGGCGAUCUCGAGUCCGGAAGAGGUGAGUGGAACUCCUAGUGUAGAGGUGGAAUUCGUAGAUAUUAGGAAGAACACCAGUGGCGAAGGCGGCUCACUGGUCCGGUACUGACGCUGAGGUGCGAAAGCGUGGGGAGCAAACAGGG